UACGUAGGGGGCAAGCGUUGUCCGGAUUUAUUGGGCGUAAAGAGCGUGUAGGCGGUUGGAUAGGUCCGUUGUGAAAACUCGAGGCUCAACCUCGAGACGCCGAUGGAAACCAUCUAACUAGAGUCCGGAAGAGGAGAGUGGAAUUCCUGGUGUAGCGGUGAAAUGCGCAGAUAUCAGGAAGAACACCCGUGGCGAAGGCAGCCCCCUGGGCCAAUACGUGACGCCUGCAUGCACGAAAGCGUGGGGAGCAAACAGG
rnacentral:rRNA from 1 species